AUGAGUCUCUCUAUUGGAAGGGGGGUUGUCGGAACAUCAUUUAUUUUCCCACUUGCUGCUGUAUUAAAUGUGUCAUUUGGCCUUAAUUUUGUGCACUGCAUUUUUCUUCACUCCUCUUUGUUCUUUACUAAGUUAGAAUCAUAUAUAAAUUGGAUUAUCUUUGUGGUGUCUUUCCGACCCCAUGAUCGUCAUUUUGCACUUAAGACACAGAACCACCAGAAAGUGUUCUCCCUUAUGUAUCAUGUUGUCAUGGGUGAUGAUCCAGAGGUGAAGGUUGGCCAGCCAUCUUCUGAUGUUUUCACUUCUGCCAUGAGGAUGUUUAUAGUAUUAUAA
rnacentral:rRNA from 1 species